rnacentral:rRNA from 1 species
AUGGCCGAGAUGAGCGGAGCGAAGGCGGGCAGCCUCGCCUUGCGCAUCGUGGUGCUGGCGCUGUCGGUGGGCGCCGCCGUCGUGAUGGGCAGCGUCGUCUCCUACAACAGCGCUCUGGUAAAUUGUUUAUUCCCAUUAGAAAUAAUGUUCGCCGAGUAUUUCAAAAAUGUUGACCAUGUAUUAAAAAAAGUGUUCCAUGUCCAUUUAAAAACUGAGAAAUAA